CGACUUACGACGGUCCGCACUUACGACCAAAAAAAAAUAAUACAUCAGACAGCUGCGCGCACGAUAACACGAAGAACACAACACGCAGUUCAACAUAACGUUUUUAGUUCAACCUGAACACGCAUAUUUACGAGAACGCAAUUACAAGUGAUUACAUGAGUGACUGGUGAGAUAGGACUCCAGGUGAAGGACUACUUUAAAAAAAUCUAACGCACCGCUAGCGAAAUCUCCAGAGUGAUGCGAAAGUUCGCUAUUGGAUAUUUUCUUUCUUAUCCUCGUAUAUUUAAAGAUAUAUUUACUUAUAUAGAUUUGUUUAUUUAUUUACUUACCGUAAUGCAAAAUUAUGAGAUAAAUUAAUUGCUAUAUUAUAAAAUUUUACGAUUUUAUUGAAAAAGAUUUGAAGAGACCUUAUCGUGACCUUGGAAGAGACUCCCAAGGUCAAACAAAGGUCACCGCCUUACACAUCCUUUGAAACCAAGCAACUUUUGUUUCAAAAGUCUUUUUCUAAAAUGUCUUGUUUGCAUGAUAUUUUAUCAUACCUUCUUUCAAACUGAACACCUUGUAUGACUAGUCUAAGCAAUAUUGAGCUAAUUUUGUUUGCAAAAAGUAUCAUCUGUUGGGUUCCUGAAUCAGACCUCACAAGAUGAAGAAAAUCGGCGUGUGACACUUGUUAAGGUUUACUUAUUAGAAAUGUUUUGCUAUGAUAAUUUAAGAUAACUUUUUGUGGAUCAACGUCAUCAUGAGUUUACAUUAUUGCAUGAAACACUUAAUUUCUACUCUAUUCUUGAUUUGCACGUGUUAUUUUUUUGCUGUGAUACAAAAAAUAUAUAAUGUAUACUAGCUAUUAACUGCUCAUGUAACAUUAUGUCCUCUUCUAAUUUCCAUAUUAUGAAAACACUAAUAUACGAGACUAACUGGAAAGCCGCGUGUAUUAUGUCUGGACAUUCAAAAAGCUUCUUGUCGAAUCAAGCGACGCGGUAGCGUCGCGACGCUAAGUACAUAAAAAUAAAAAAUAUUAUAAGAUUCCGAAGAAUGAAAGUCACUGCAUAAACAUCGAGUGUUACCAAGUUCAGUGUAUAUAUGUCGAGCGCGUAUAGCUUAUCUGUAUGCCGAUUCUCUAACUUUUUAACGAUAAUGUCGUUAUCAUUAUGUAGCGACUGUCGUCGCUUGCGCUAGCGACACUGUAACGACGAGGUUAUUCUGUAACUCAGAAUAUCGAUACAAUAUCGAUACAAAAUAGGUUUCCGACAUCGUUAACGAAACGAGUAUAUCCCGUUUGAUAUAACUCUGACACUAUCAGUUUUAACCAAUCAAAAUUCAUUCUGGAAGCAUCCUUUUUACCUAGUUUCGGAACACGAGACAUGACAACUGUUUGAAUCGGUAAGAAGUUGGUCGACAAAAAAAA